GAUGAAGAACGUAGCGAAAUGCGAUAAGUAAUGUGAAUUGCAGAAUUCAGUGAAUCAUCGAAUCUUUGAACGCACAUUGCGCCCGCCAGUAUUCUGGCGGGCAUGCCUGUUCGAGCGUCAUUUCAACCAUCAAGCCCCAGGCUUGUGUUGGGGACCUGCGGCUGCCGCAGGCCCUGAAAACCAGUGGCGGGCUCGCUGUCACACCGGGCGUAGUAGAUUUUAUCUCGCUCAGGGCGUGCUGCGGGUCCCGGCCGUUAAAAAGCCUUUUUUACCCAAGGUUGACCUCGGAUCAGGUAGGAAGACCCGCUGAACUUAAGCAUAUCAAUAAGCGGAGGA
rnacentral:misc_RNA from 1 species